rnacentral:rRNA from 1 species
AUUGAACGCUAGCGGGAUGCUUUACACAUGCCAGUCGAACGGCAGCGCGGACUUCGGCCUGGCGGCGAGUGGCGAACGGGUGAGUAAUGUAUCGGAACGUGCCCAGUAGCGGGGGAUAACUACGCGAAAGCGUAGCUAAUACCGCAUACGCCCUACGGGGGAAAGCAGGGGAUCGUAAGACCUUGCACUAUUGGAGCGGCCGAUAUCGGAUUAGCUAGUUGGUGAGGUAACGGCUCACCAAGGCGACGAUCCGUAGCUGGUUUGAGAGGACGACCAGCCACACUGGGACUGAGACACGGCCCAGACUCCUACGGGAGGCAGCAGUGGGGAAUUUUGGACAAUGGGGGCAACCCUGAUCCAGCCAUCCCGCGUGUGCGAUGAAGGCCUUCGGGUUGUAAAGCACUUUUGGCAGGAAAGAAACGUCGCGGGCUAAUACCCCGUGGAACUGACGGUACCUGCAGAAUAAGCACCGGCUAACUACGU